rnacentral:rRNA from 1 species
UACGUAGGGGGCUAGCGUUGUCCGGAAUCAUUGGGCGUAAAGAGCGCGUAGGCGGCUGGAAUAGUCCGGUGUGAAAUCCACAGGCUUAACCUGUGAAUGCCGCUGGAAACUGUCUGGCUAGAGUCCGGAAGGGGCGAGUGGAAUUCCUGGUGUAGCGGUGAAAUGCGCAGAUAUCAGGAGGAACACCAAUGGAGAAGGCAGCUCGCUGGGACGGUACUGACGCUGGAGGCGCGAAAGCGUGGGGAGCGAACAGG